ACUAGGGAAACCUAGGGGUUUAAAGCCUUGUUGCAUAUGGUAAAUGCAAUCGCGAUGCCUGCGAAAGUGAGUUAGAGUUUCUUCUUUUCUAAUUUUAUUUUGCUCGAGGACUAGCAAAAUGUAGGUUUGGGGGUGUGAUAAGUGCUAAAUAAUGUACAAAUUUAUCUAUUUUACAUAGCACUUAUUAUUAUUGUUAUGCACAUAUUUUAAAUAUUAACAGAAGAAAAUGUGUUUCACCUCUCAUUUCAUUUUAAUAAAUUAUUAGAGGUAAUUCAAGUUUGGUUUAAUUUUCUAUAUUGAUUUAGUCUAAUGUGUGUGCAGGUCGAGUCACCCC
rnacentral:lncRNA from 1 species